CUGGCUGCAACUGUUUAUUAAAAACACAGCACUGUGCAAACACGAAAGUGGACGUAUACGGUGUGACGCCUGCCCGGUGCCGGAAGGUUAAUUGAUGGGGUCAGCGCAAGCGAAGCUCCUGAUCGAAGCCCCGGUAAACGGCGGCCGUAACUAUAACGGUCCUAAGGUAGCGAAAUUCCUUGUCGGGUAAGUUCCGACCUGCACGAAUGGCGUAAUGAUGGCCAGGCUGUCUCCACCCGAGACUCAGUGAAAUUGAACUCGCUGUGAAGAUGCAGUGUACCCGCGGCAAGACGGAAAGACCCCGUGAACCUUUACUAUAGCUUGACACUGAACAUUGAGCCUUGAUGUGUAGGAUAGGUGGGAGGCUUUGAAGUGUGGACGCCAGUCUGCAUGGAGCCGACCUUGAAAUACCACCCUUUAAUGUUUGAUGUUCUAACGUGGACCCGUGAUCCGGGUUGCGGACAGUGUCUGGUGGGUAGUUUGACUGGGGCGGUCUCCUCCUAAAGAGUAACGGAGGAGCACGAAGGUUGGCUAAUCCUGGUCGGACAUCAGGAGGUUAGUGCAAUGGCAUAAGCCAGCUUGACUGCGAGCGUGACGGCGCGAGCAGGUGCGAAAGCAGGUCAUAGUGAUCCGGUGGUUCUGAAUGGAAGGGCCAUCGCUCAACGGAUAAAAGGUACUCCGGGGAUAACAGGCUGAUACCGCCCAAGAGUUCAUAUCGACGGCGGUGUUUGGCACCUCGAUGUCGGCUCAUCACAUCCUGGGGCUGAAGUAGGUCCCAAGGGUAUGGCUGUUCGCCAUUUAAAGUGGUACGCGAGCUGGGUUUAGAACGUCGUGAGACAGUUCGGUCCCUAUCUGCCGUGGGCGCUGGAGAACUGAGGGGGGCUGCUCCUAGUACGAGAGGACCGGAGUGGACGCAUCACUGGUGUUCGGGUUGUCAUGCCAAUGGCACUGCCCGGUAGCUAAAUGCGGAAGAGAUAAGUGCUGAAAGCAUCUAAGCACGAAACUUGCCCCGAGAUGAGUUCUCCCUGAGACUUUAGGUCUCCUGAAGGAACGUUGAAGACGACGACGUUGAUAGGCCGGGUGUGUAAGCGCAGCGAUGCGUUGAGCUAACCGGUACUAAUGAACCGUGAGGCUUAACCUU
rnacentral:rRNA from 1 species